rnacentral:lncRNA from 1 species
CUCUUGACUUGCCUAUAGGGGUAUGGAUGUGUAUUGGCAAAUUUGUAUGAUGUAAAGAUGCAAUUUUUCUGAAAAUUGCAUACAUUUUUGGACUUGUACUGUACAUUACACACACAAAAAAUUAGACAAAAAGAAUAGGCAAAUUUUUUUAAUGCGACAAAACGUUAUAAAGAAAUGAUAGAGGAAUUAUUUGUGGUCUCGGGCCAGA